GACAGAGGGUGCAAACGUUGUUCGGAAUUACUGGGCGUAAAGCGUGUGUAGGCGGCUACGUAAGUCGGAUGUGAAAGCCCCAGGCUCAACCUGGGAAGUGCACUCGAUACUGCGUAGCUUGAGUAUCGGAGAGGUUGGCGGAAUUCUCGGUGUAGAGGUGAAAUUCGUAGAUAUCGAGAGGAACACCGGUGGCGAAGGCGGCCAACUGGACGAAUACUGACGCUGAGACACGAAAGCGUGGGGAGCAAACAGG
rnacentral:rRNA from 1 species